GCACCCUAGCCUCCACCACCGCCUUGUGCCUCUAUUGCCGCCACGACGUCCGUCGCAACGACCCCUGUUCGCUCUCAGACUCACCAGUCGCAGGCACGUUGUUUCUUCCUCGAGCGUCCGACGUCUUCGUCUUCUCACCGUCAUGCUAGCCGUCGUCUUCGUCUGCUAACUCUGCUCGCCAUCGUGCUCGUCGUCUCAGACCGAAGAAAAAACCCUUCCCCAUUCCAAUCUCCUUCCUUCGAGUUCAGAGAGCAGAAGCUCAACCAAGAAAAAAACCCUUCUCCAUUCCAAUCUUGUCGCCGUCUGUCGGAGUGAGAGACUGCUGUUGCCGCCUCCGUUGCACUCAAGAACUUCCGUCUUCGUGCUAUCGGCGUUCGCUACUUCGCUCCAUUCCAAUCUAGUGCUUGCUUGUUCUUCGUGUUUCUUUUAUUGUCUGUUCAGAAAUCAAACCCUCUUCGUGCUUGUUCUUCGAUGGUCAGUGAUAGUCGUUUUUUAAUGCUCACUGCUAGUGUUCUCACUGCUGGUGUUUUGUGCUUUCAUUGAUUGAUGAUUAUUGAUUAAGUAAUGUGUUGCUAUUUUUUUU